CUCAAGGGAUCCUCCCGCCUCAUCCUCCCAAGAGAAUCCCAUAAAGUCCCCAUACUGAGGAGAAGCUAACCCCCUACUCCCUCAGACAGAGGUUGCCUAAAUGUAGAAAACAAGGCUUCCACUUGAAUACAGGCUAAAUUGCAGUGAUGAUUCAAACAACUGGAAAAGAAGAGACUAAGAAUUGUAGUUACAUGGAUAUGAAACAUCUCAUUCUGGAUUUAGGGAAUUGAAUUGUUACUAAACCUGAUAGUCACUUUUCUGUAAGUUGUUAAAAUAGUUAAAAAUUCAUGUAAGAGACCUACUUAUAUCUUGUUUUGGAAUUCAGCCAGUAUUCUAUAUAUUUUAUUUAGAGUAAUAAUUGCUUUCUUUUCAUUUAUUUUCAACCAAAUAAAGAUAAUUACAAUUACACUGACAAGAUAUUCACAAUGAGAAAGAAGAGAGGCUAUAUCUAUAUACCUCUCCAUCUAUCAACAUCUAUAUUCUCAGUCCAUUCUCAGUCUAUUCCUGAUGCUAUAACAAAAUGCCUUAGAUUAGGUAAGUUAUAAAUAAUAGAAAUUUAUUUCUCACCGUUCUGGA